rnacentral:lncRNA from 1 species
UUUAGUGUAAAUAGUACUUUAGAUCAAAAAAAUUUUUAUGUACAUGUGUAUAUGUAUAUCUAUGAUUCUCGUAACAAUCCUGUGAUUUAGAUUCUCUUGGUAUUAUUUGACAUUUCUCAGAUAUAGAAACUAAAGCUCAGAGAGUAUUAAUUGAUUUGCCCUUGAUCACCUGGCUUGUACAUUCAUUUCAGGACUAGAAUUUGCACCCUCACCUCUCCUUACUCUGAGUCUGGUUUGUUAUCUGCUAUUCUGUGCUGUUUCACUAAGUUCUAAUUCUUAUUUGUAUCCCCAGUAUUUGGAAUAGUGUUUGACAAGCUGCUCCUACUGCUGUUGUUGUGAGCCUGCCACUUCAUCUCUUGAACACACAAUCUAGGAGUCCUUGCAAGCUGCCUUUUGGAUGUCUGGUCCUGGGUGCACUUGUCCUUGUGAUCAGAUUGACCAAUCCUGAGAUUCGGGGGGAGAUUCAUCUCCCUACACCUCCUUGCCAUUUUGGCCUGCCCAGUCUUUGCAACACACCCAAUAUGGUGUUCAUCCACACUAUGCCCAGUGCAGGUAUGGGGAACUCCAGAGAUAU